rnacentral:rRNA from 1 species
UACUAGAGUAGCACUCGCAUAUCAAUAAGCGGAGGAAAAGAAACUAACAAGGAUUCCCCUAGUAACGGCGAGUGAAGCGGGAAGAGCUCAAAUUUGAAAUCUUAAAGGGUUUCCCUUUACGAAUUGUAGUUUAAAGAAGUGUUUUCUGUUGAGGUUUUGGUAAAAGUUCUUUGGAAUAGGACAUCAUAGAGGGUGAGAAUCUCGUAUUUGACCUUUACUUUCAACUUUGUGAUACACUUUCAAAGAGUCGGAUUGUUUGGGAAUGCAGUCCAAAAUGGGUGGUAAAUUUCAUCUAAAGCUAAAUAUUGGCGAGAGACCGAUAGCGAACAAGUACCGUGAGGGAAAGAUGAAAAGAACUUUGAAAAGAGAGUUAAACAGUACGUGAAAUUGUCAAAAGGGAAGCGUUUGACACCAGUGUUGUUUUUCUGAAAAUCAAUUAAAGAACUGUUUAUGCUAAGUUGUUUAGACUUUAUCAGCUAUCUGCUUAGUUUUGAGCUUCUCUUUAAUGCACUUUUCAGUUAACAAGUCAACAUCAAUUUCUUUUGCUGUAAAAAAGCUUGAGGAAGGUGGCUUGAGAUUCGUCUUAAGUGUUUAUAGCCUCUUGCCUAUGCAGUCGGAGAGAUUGAGGUCUGCAGCGUAGAUCCUUCGGGGCUAAAUGCAUUUGUGCUAAGUUAUAGCAUUUUAUAGACAACUUGUUGACUAUGAUUUGUCUUGUAGCUUACUCGCUUAUGUUAUUUUACCUACGCUUAGGAUGUUGAAGACUCUACAGAGAUA